GGUGUUUACUGUCGAACUGAACACUCUACCGUUUACUGUCUGGUGGUGCUCUUCACCGAGUGUCACCAGUGGUCGGUACGUUUACUUUGAAAAAAUUAGAGUGCUCAAAGCGGUUUUACACGACCGAAUACUGUUGCAUGAUAUGAAAUAGACUUUGUUCUAUUUUGUGGUCUCGAACCAAGGUAAUGAUAGAGGGACAGACGGGGGCAUUAGUAUUGCGACGCUAGAGGUGAAAUUCUUGGACCGUCGCAAGACUAACUAAAGCGAAAGCAUUUGCCAAGAAUGUUUUCAUUAAUCAAGAACGAAAGUAGAGGUUCGAAGGCGAUCAGAUACCGCCCUAGUUCUAACCAUAAACGAUGCCAACCAGCAAUCAGCCUGUGUUCUCUUGAUGACACGGCUGGCGGCUUCCGGGAAACCAAAGUCUUUCGGUUCCAGGGGAAGUAUGGUUGCAAAGCUGAAACUUAAAGGAAUUGACGGAAGGGCACCACCAGGAGUGGAGCCUGCGGCUUAAUUUGACUCAACACGGGGAAACUCACCCGGCCCGGACACUGUGAGGAUUGACAGGUUGAAGCCCUUUCUUGAUUCAGUGGGUGGUGGUGCAUGGCCGUUCUUAGUUGGUGGAGUGAUUUGUCUGGUUAAUUCCGAUAACGAACGAGACUCUAGCCUACUAAUUAGACCGUGGCGUCCUCGUGCCGCCACGGCGCUUCCUAGAGGGACAGACGG
rnacentral:rRNA from 1 species